AAAGGAAUUGACGGGGACCCGCACAAGCAGUGGAGUAUGUGGUUUAAUUCGAAGCAACGCGAAGAACCUUACCAGGGCUUGACAUCCAGAGAACCCUGUAGAGAUACGGGGGUGCCUUCGGGAACUCUGAGACAGGUGGUGCAUGGUUGUCGUCAGCUCGUGUCGUGAGAUGUUGGGUUAAGUCCCGCAACGAGCGCAACCCUUAUCGUUAGUUGCUACCAGUAAGAUGAGCACUCUAGCGAGACUGCCGGUGACAAAUCGGAGGAAGGUGGGGACGACGUCAAAUCAUCAUGCCCCUUAUGUCCUGGGCUACACACGUACUACAAUGGCCGUUAACAAAGGGAAGCAAAGCCGCGAGGCGGAGCAAAUCCCCAAAAGCGGCCUCAGUUCAGAUCGCAGGCUGCAACUCGCCUGCGUGAAGUCGGAAUUGCUAGUAAUCGCGAAUCAGCAUGUCGCGGUGAAUACGUUCCCGGGUCUUGUACACACCGCCCGU
rnacentral:rRNA from 1 species